rnacentral:rRNA from 1 species
GAUGAACGCUGGCGGCGUGCCUAAUACAUGCAAGUCGAGCGAACGGACGAGAAGCUUGCUUCUCUGAUGUUAGCGGCGGACGGGUGAGUAACACGUGGAUAACCUACCUAUAAGACUGGGAUAACUUCGGGAAACCGUAGCUAAUACCGGAUAAUAUUUUGAACCGCAUGGUUCAAAAGUGAAAGACGGUCUUGCUGUCACUUAUAGAUGGAUCCGCGCUGCAUUAGCUAGUUGGUAAGGUAACGGCUUACCAAGGCAACGAUGCAUAGCCGACCUGAGAGGGUGAUCGGCCACACUGGAACUGAGACACGGUCCAGACUCCUACGGGAGGCAGCAGUAGGGAAUCUUCCGCAAUGGGCGAAAGCCUGACGGAGCAACGCCGCGUGAGUGAUGAAGGCCUUCGGAUCGUAAAACUCUGUUAUUAGGGAAGAACAUAUGUGUAAGUAACUGCGCACAUCUUGACGGUACCUAAUCAGAAAGCCACGGCUAACUACGUG